UCAAUAUGUACUAUGUGUGUUUUAGAGCUUCACCUACACUGCCACUCAAAACACAAGAUGAGACGACUAGUUGCCUCACAGGAGCUAUUGCUGGUUCUGCUGAUUUCGCUGCAGUGUCUUUCCUGCCUUGCAAUUGCAAAUCCUGCGUUGGAUCGCCAAGCUGAAGCACUUCUCCAAUGGAAAUCUGGUCUAAGGGGCGAUCUCUCCUACUGCGGGCUAGAGGAAUGGAGCAACGCAACCAGCCCAUGCAACUGGUCAGGCAUAUACUGCAGCUACAAGGUGCGCCGUGGCCAUGAGCGUGAUGCCAUCCUAGUUGUGACAAACAUUACACUUUUCUCAUGUAACAUCUCCGGUGGUUUGAGCAAGCUCCGAUUUGCACAAUUGCCUCAUCUUGUCUUUCUCGACCUUAGCAUUAACUCUCUCUAUGGACCAAUUCCGUCUGAUAUUGGUCGUCUUGCUGAGCUCUCGUACUUGGAUCUCUCUAACAAUAAGCUCACUGGAUCCAUCCCGCCAUCGAUAGGUAAUCUUACGAACCUAGGAUUCCUUGAGCUUUCUAACAAUUAUUUGUCACAAGGGAUACUCAGUUGCUUGCCUGACACAUUACAUAACUUGCAGUACCUUGAUUUAAGCCACAACAGCUUAACUGGCCCAAUACCUUCCAGUUUGGGAAACCUGGCUAGAUUGUAUUUUCUAGAUCUUGGAUUUAACAAUCUUUUUGGUCAUAUUCCACGUGAGAUAGGGAUGCUUCAUAGUUUAGUUGCGCUAGAUCUGGAUCAUAAUAAUAUCAAUGGCUCCAUACCUACAACCAUAGGGAAUCUAACAAGUUUAAAGUCCUUGGAUCUCUCCACAAAUGAAAUCACGGGUUUUAUUCCUGAAAGUAUAGGAAAUUUGAGUUUAAUAGAAUUGUAUCUCUCCAUAAAUGAAAUCACGGGUUUCAUUCCUGAAAGUAUAGGAAAUUUAAGGAGUUUAAUAAAAUUGUAUCUCUCCACAAAUGAAAUCACGGGUUCCAUUCCUGAAAGUAUAGGAAAUCUAACGAGCUUACAAAACAUGGAUCUUUCCAACAACCGAAUCAUUGGCCCCAUCCCUUCAACCUUUUCGAAACUUAUAUCUUUAAUAACACUGAAACUUGAGUCCAAUGUGCUAAAUGCUAUACUGCCACCAGAACUAGGAUUUCUACGUAAUCUUUUUGUUCUAGAUCUAAGCAGCAAUCAGUUUACGGGAAGCAUUCCACCUCAGAUAGGACAGUUUCACCAUUUGUCCUUGUUGCGCCUGCGAAACAACUUACUGACAGGACCAAUACCAGAAGAGCUUGGGUAUUGUACCGACCUAACUGAGUUGGAUUUGAGCAGAAAUAAUUUAAGUGGUGCCAUACCAAUGACUUUCAUGAUGCUUUACCGAUUACUUGAGCUGAAUUUAUCAUACAACAGUUUGGGCGGCAGAUUUUUUGGUUUCUACACAACUGAAGCCUCUUCUGUAGUUUCACUAGACCAUAAUACAGGUAUCUGUGGUGAUCCAUUAUAUGGCUUGACACCAUGUCAACCAUCAAAUCCAAAUCCUGACAGUUUACAUACAAAUGAAAAUUCCGACAGUAAACAUCUUGUUCCGAGGCUACUUCUUGCCUUUGCAAUGUUUUCUUGCAUCUGGCUCGUGGGUGGAAGCAUCACAGUGGUUUGUUGGAGAAGAAAACUUGCAAAAAAGGGCAAAGAAAUCAUCCCUGGAGACUUCGUUUCCAUAUGGAACUUUGAUGCAAAGGUUGCGUUUCAAGAUGCACUUUACGCAACAGAAAAUUUUGAUGAAAAAUACUGCAUCGGUGUUGGAAGUUAUGGAUCUGUCUUAGAGCUGAGAUCCAAGGAAAAGGUGUAUUUGCCAUCAAGCUGCUUCACAGAAUGGAAGAUUACUUUGACAUUGGAGCAUUUCUUGCUGAGAUUGAAGUGUUGACAAAAAUCAGGCACCGUCGCAUUGUCAAGUUGCACGGUUACUGCUCUCAUUCACAGUGCAAAUUUCUUGUAUACGAUCUCAUCGAAAGAGGAAGUUUAGCGUCCAUUUGGAAUGACCAAGAAUUGGCAAAGGAACUUGAUUGGUGUAAAAGAGUCACUAUUGUGAUGGACAUAGCUCAAGCUCUCUCUUACUUGCACCAUGAUUGUGAUGAUCCGAUCGUGCACCGCGAUAUUAAAAGUAGCAACAUCUUGCUAGACCAUGAUUUUAAGGCUUAUUUAUCCGACUUCGGCAUGGCAAAGAAGUUGAAGGACAAUUCAUCUAGCUGGAGCACUAUCUUUGCAGGGACAUGUGGCUACAUAGCCCCAGAACUGUCAUCUACAAUGGUGUUAACGGAGAAGUGCGAUGUGUAUAGCUUUGGUGUGGUUAUGCUGGAAGUGGUGAUGGGAAAACAUCCUGGAGAUCUUCUGCUACCGUUCUUUUGCCGAACAGAACAACAUACAAAGCUCAAGGAUAUCCUGGACCAACGCAUCAUGGCGCCGACCACCGAAGAGAAGGAUAUCAUCCUGCUUGUUCUGGUGGCUUUUGCUUGCCUGCAAAUCUGCCCAAAAUCCCGGCCAACAAUGCAGCAGGUUUGUCAAGCAAUGACAACUAGAAGUUUACCUGCUCCUAUCCUGAAGCCCCUUGAUGAGAUCAAAUUGCAGCAUUUCCAUGAUUUUUGUGGAACUAUACAGAAUAUAUGAUGAAAUUUACAUCAUAAGGGGCGCAUUUUGCAUUAAAAAAAAAGAGAAGCCCCUUAAUGAGAUCAAACUGCAGCAUUUCCAUGAUUUUUGUGGAACCAUACAGAAUAUAUGAUGAAAUUUACUUCAUAAGGGGCGCAUUUUGCAUUAAAAAAAGAGAGAGGAUAUGUUCAUGUAAGCUACACAAAGCAUCUGAAGUUGAAGUUACAACGGCUACUGGCUUCAGGGACACUCCCUUUUUAGGCUUGCUUCUAUCUGAGAGAUCAUUUUACAUGCAGUGUAGUUCUUUGAUUGUUUUUCUACGUCGAACAAAAUUAUUUAUUUUUUGCCUGAACAUGUACACUUUUUUUUUUGGACAUGUCAAUCGUGUGAUGUUUGUCUCCA